rnacentral:rRNA from 1 species
UACGGAGGGUGCAAACGUUGCUCGGAAUCACUGGGCGUAAAGCGCACGUAGGCGGAUUUUUAAGUCAGGGGUGAAAUCCCGAGGCUCAACCUCGGAACUGCCUUUGAUACUGGAGAUCUUGAGUCCGGAAGAGGUAAGUGGAACUGCGAGUGUAGAGGUGAAAUUCGUAGAUAUUCGCAAGAACACCAGUGGCGAAGGCGGCUUACUGGUCCGGAACUGACGCUGAGGUGCGAAAGCGUGGGGAGCAAACAGG